rnacentral:rRNA from 1 species
GAUUAAGUUAUUAAGGGCGCACGGUGGAUGCCUUGGCACUAGAAGCCGAUGAAGGACGUUACUAACGACGAUAUGCUUUGGGGAGCUGUAAGUAAGCUUUGAUCCAGAGAUUUCCGAAUGGGGAAACCCAGCAUGAGUUAUGUCAUGUUAUCGAUAUGUGAAUACAUAGCAUAUCAGAAGGCACACCCGGAGAACUGAAACAUCUUAGUACCCGGAGGAAGAGAAAGAAAAUUCGAUUCCCUUAGUAGCGGCGAGCGAAACGGGAAGAGCCCAAACCAACAAGCUUGCUUGUUGGGGUUGUAGGACACUCUAUACGGAGUUACAAAGGACGACAUUAGACGAAUCAUCUGGAAAGAUGAAUCAAAGAAGGUAAUAAUCCUGUAGUCGAAAAUGUUGUCUCUCUUGAGUGGAUCCUGAGUACGACGGAGCACGUGAAAUUCCGUCGGAAUCUGGGAGGACCAUCUCCUAAGGCUAAAUACUCUCUAGUGACCGAUAGUGAACCAGUACCGUGAGGGAAAGGUGAAAAGCACCCCGGAAGGGGAGUGAAAUAGAACCUGAAACCGUGUGCUUACAAGUAGUCAGAGCCCGUUAAUGGGUGAUGGCGUGCCUUUUGUAGAAUGAACCGGCGAGUUACGAUUUGAUGCAAGGUUAAGCAGUAAAUGUGGAGCCGUAGCGAAAGCGAGUCUGAAUAGGGCGUUUAGUAUUUGGUCGUAGACCCGAAACCAGGUGAUCUACCCUUGGUCAGGUUGAAGUUCAGGUAACACUGAAUGGAGGACCGAACCGACUUACGUUGAAAAGUGAGCGGAUGAACUGAGGGUAGCGGAGAAAUUCCAAUCGAACCUGGAGAUAGCUGGUUCUCUCCGAAAUAGCUUUAGGGCUAGCCUCAAGUGAUGAUUAUUGGAGGUAGAGCACUGUUUGGACGAGGGGCCCCUCUCGGGUUACCGAAUUCAGACAAACUCCGAAUGCCAAUUAAUUUAACUUGGGAGUCAGAACAUGGGUGAUAAGGUCCGUGUUCGAAAGGGAAACAGCCCAGACCACCAGCUAAGGUCCCAAAAUAUAUGUUAAGUGGAAAAGGAUGUGGCGUUGCCCAGACAACUAGGAUGUUGGCUUAGAAGCAGCCAUCAUUUAAAGAGUGCGUAAUAGCUCACUAGUCGAGUGACACUGCGCCGAAAAUGUACCGGGGCUAAACAUAUUACCGAAGCUGUGGAUUGUCCUUUGGACAAUGGUAGGAGAGCGUUCUAAGGGCGUUGAAGCAUGAUCGUAAGGACAUGUGGAGCGCUUAGAAGUGAGAAUGCCGGUGUGAGUAGCGAAAGACGGGUGAGAAUCCCGUCCACCGAUUGACUAAGGUUUCCAGAGGAAGGCUCGUCCGCUCUGGGUUAGUCGGGUCCUAAGCUGAGGCCGACAGGCGUAGGCGAUGGAUAACAGGUUGAUAUUCCUGUACCACCUAUAAUCGUUUUAAUCGAUGGGGGGACGCAGUAGGAUAGGCGAAGCGUGCGAUUGGAUUGCACGUCUAAGCAGUAAGGCUGAGUAUUAGGCAAAUCCGGUACUCGUUAAGGCUGAGCUGUGAUGGGGAGAAGACAUUGUGUCUUCGAGUCGUUGAUUUCACACUGCCGAGAAAAGCCUCUAGAUAGAAAAUAGGUGCCCGUACCGCAAACCGACACAGGUAGUCAAGAUGAGAAUUCUAAGGUGAGCGAGCGAACUCUCGUUAAGGAACUCGGCAAAAUGACCCCGUA